rfam:Phaseolus vulgaris cultivar G19833 chromosome 11, whole genome shotgun sequence.
AUACCUUUCUCGGCCUUUUGGCUAAGAUCAAGUGUAGUAUCUGUUCUUAUCAGUUUAAUAUCUGAUAUAUGAACCAUUGGUUCAUACGAUAUUAAAUUUAUUUUUUUCUGAGAGAGGGUCAACUGCAGUAGCUUGCUACUCAGACUCUCAAGCAUCACUCUUGUUUUGCACUAUUGCAAGAGCUUGGUGCAUCUCAC